rnacentral:misc_RNA from 1 species
AAAAUUCUAAGUUUCAGUAAUGUUAUUUGUACUAAUAGAGAUAAGCAAUAGUAAUGCAGAAAUUUCUUCUUGUGUGGGAAUAUUAGAACUUGUUAGGAUUUGAUCUCUAGUAGAGCUAAGAUAAGAUAGAAGUCCAAUCAGAGCCAAGACCAUAAAGAAUUUGUCUCGUUGUUGUUCUUGUGCAGUAAUGCUAUCAGAGAAGGGCAUGAGAGAGUUGAACUUAUCUUUUAGUGACUCUACUUGCCCUAAUUAAUGUGCCAUAUAUUGUUGGUUUUGCUAUAAGUGGAUAAUAUUGGAGACAACUUUAUGUAUACA